rnacentral:rRNA from 1 species
GUCUACGGCCAUGCCACCCUGAACAAGCCCGAUGUCUGAUCUCGGAAGCUGAGCAGGGUUGGGCCUGGUUAGUACUUGGGUGGGAGAGAGACCACCUAGGAAGACCAGGUGCUGUAGGCA